rnacentral:rRNA from 1 species
AACGAACGCUGGCGGCAUGCCUAACACAUGCCAGUCGAACGAGACCUUCGGGUCUAGUGGCGCACGGGUGCGUAACGCGUGGGAACCUGCCCUUAGGUUCGGAAUAACUCCCCGAAAGGGGUGCUAAUACCGGAUAAUGUCUUCGGACCAAAGAUUUGUCGCCUUUGGAUGGGCCCGCGUUGGAUUAGCUAGUUGGUAGGGUAAAAGCCUACCAAGGCGACGAUCCAUAGCUGGCCUGAGAGGAUGAUCAGCCACACUGGGACUGAGACACGGCCCAGACUCCGACGGGAGGCAGCAGUGGGGAAUAUGGGACAAUGGGCGGAAUCCUGAUGCAGCAAUGCCGCGGGAGUGAUGAAGGCCGUAGGGUUGUAAAGCUCUUUUACCCGGGAUGAUAAUGACAGUACCGGGAGAAUAAGCACCGGCUAACUCCGUG